rnacentral:sRNA from 1 species
GCUAAAUGCUUGUUUCGAAGUGGUUUCCUGUUGCUUUUAUCCCAUUGUUUCCACGGUCUUGUUUUUCAUCCUGUCCUCUGGGGAUUUAGUAGGAUUGCCCCAUGGUCCGGUGAAAGGAACCCAGCCACCAAGCGGGGGAAAAACCUCACCUGUUUACUUUCCCCAGCCUGUUAUUUGGCCUUCCUCUAGGUAAGUUUUCCCACAGGCUACACCUCCUUCCCCCCUGAGGGAGGGUUUGUUUUUGUUUUUCUGUUUGUUUGUUUUUUUUAAAUAGUUGCCACUUUGUGUGAAAAUUUUAUAUUUGUCUUCACAUGUCCAUUAAUCAAAUUUUGCUGCUGCUUGUAUUCCUCACCUGUUUGUAGGAACCACCAAUCCAACUGGCACUGUUCUGGCAUUCAAAAAUAAAUCCAUGCAGUGUAAAGAGAGCUAGAAAGAGAGAUGGGCAUUUUCUGCAUGCUUAUCUUAAAGUCAGUAAUUAUUUCUCAGCGCAAAGGAGAACCGUGGUUGACAGACAUUCAAUACAGUUGCUUGUCCCCUUAAGAGGAUAAAGCCUGAAGACAGCAUUCAAGAUGACCCUGAGCUAGGAAGAGAGCUCUAGUGUUUUGCUUGCAGGUAUGUCUGUGCACCAUGCUCAUGCAGUGACCACAGAGGUCAGAGGAAGCCAUCAAAUCCCAUGGGACUGGAAGUAGAGAGUGUGUGAGCCACCACACCAUGUGGGUGCUGGGAACUGAGCCUGUUGAGCCAUCUCGCCAGCCGCCUUCAGCGAUGUUUUGGAGAUCUAGAAAUGGGACUUUGACCAGAGGAGAUGGCUCAGUGGGUAAAGUGCUUGCCUCGAAAGCACAAGUUCAACUGGGAUAGUGUCACCUGUCGUCCCAGGACCCAGGAGAUGUUAUUUACUUUGACGUUAUCUGAGGUCCACAUAAAUUGUUUAACUGUGCAGCAGCAGCCUGUGAGUUGAGAGCUAGGUGACCGCACUUGACCUUCUUACUGGAGAAGACCUCCUUUGAUGUCACUCAGUGUUUCCAGCCUCCCACAGUUACCAAUCAGUGGGUAAACAUUGAGGACAUAUGAACAUGGGAAGAAGGUCAGAGACACCUUGUGGGAGCCGGACACGUUUCCUAGCAUGCAUGAUCUGGAUGUUUGAACUCAGGCCCUCGGCCGUGGCCACAAGCACCUUCACCAAAUGGUUCAUCUCACCACCCCUGGAGGGUGAAGUGAACUCAUGUCAGUAGCUCUGGGCAACAAGUACUUUUACCCAGGAGCCAUUUCAAUGAUUCAGAUCUUUUAAAAUGAACCAUUGCCCAUGCUCUUGGUAAGUUUAUUCCAAAUAAAAGCUGCUGUUACACACUGGAAAGGCUCUGUGUUUAAAGGUGCUUGCUGCUCUUCUAGAGGAUCCAAGCACCCAGUUCAAGCAGCUCACACUCAUCUGUAAACUCCAGCUCCAGAGGGUCUGAUAUCUAAUGCUGCUCUCUGAGGGAUCCAAUACCCACGUAACACACAGACACACAAAAAUAAGAACAAAAAUAAAUCUUUUUUAAAAACUCUGUAGCUAAAAGUACUUACUAACUUCUUCCCCAAAGUCCCUGUUUGUCAAGCAGGAAACAGAGAAUGGGCACUAGGCAUGUGGAGCAGGAACCUGAACCCCUGGGACUGCCCAUUGGAAAGAAAAGGCUCUCGGAAUGCAACUGGAAGCUCGGUGGUAGACCACUGGCUUGGCGUGUGUGGGUCCCAGUUUCAUCUCUGGCACGGAAAAAAACAAAACAAACAAAACAAACAAAAGCAUUAUAAUACAAUCAGCCUUUGGACGUGGGCCCAGACUUGUUUUUCCCCAAAACCUCCAUGGUUGAUUUUAUUAUGUGGCCUGAAUUGGGAACCCCUGAUUUUAGUCAUCAGAAGUAACUAACUCCUAACUCCUAUUGGUGCCUGCAGAGAACCCAGUCAGGGUGAGGAGUAUUUUCCAGGUCCUAGUAUACAUGUGAUUUUAUUAUUGCUAAUCUAUGGAUAACUCCAAUCUCCUGAAGUUGUCAUCAGGGGAUUAACUUUAUGAAUUAUGGCUACCAACAUCAGUCUUGGAUCAAUGUAUUAACAGGGCUGGGACCACAUGCACAAUGGUCUCUGAGGCCAGGACAGUUAUGCUAAUGAAGUGAGCAAGUAAGUUAUGUGCAAUGGUACACACAUGUAAUCCCUGCCCUUGACAGGUGGAGGCAGGAUAAUCAGGAGUUCAAGAUCACAGGAGCUGGAUAGAUGGUUCAGUGGUUCAUUGCAAAGACCCCAGGUUUAAUCCCAGCAUCUGUAACUCCAGUUCCAGCAGGCCUUCCUCUUCUGGUUUCUGACUGAACUUCGUGCACAUGGCUCAUAGACAUAUGCAAAUCUUAAACUGCAUCCUGCAGCUUAAAAAAUUUAAAAACAAAAGCAAAAGAAAGCAACCAUCGGCAAAACAAAACAAAACAAAAAAAACAAACAAUGAACAAAAACCACAGUGGAAUGAUCCCAGAGAGAAAGUUGAAUACCUAACCCUAUGCUAUAGACUAUUUGUGAUACUCCACCCCCAUGACCACCAUAUUGAAAAUCUCAUUCUCAAGUGUUAGCGUUUGGAAAUGGACCUUAAGUAGUUGGUAUGGCUUGGAUUUUGGAGGAUUUUCAAAGGCCUGUGUGUUAAGAAGUGCUGGAACUGCUAACAGGUGAGGUGUCAGCGCUGGACAUAGGCCCUGGCUUUGAUCCUAGCUGAGGAGUGAGAUCAGAAGAACUGGACCUAACGGGAGCUCUUAGGCCAUCGAGGCCUGUCCUUGGAGAAGAUUGUGAGCACCAGACUCUACUCUUUUCUUACGGUCCUGGAUGUGAGUGGUGGAUUUUUUGUCACACUUAGCAUGGUAUAUAUGCCUUAUCACAGUCCCAAAGCAACAGUGCCAACAUGGAUGGAAACUCCAAACCUGGGCGCCAAGACAACCUUUUCUUCUCAUAAGCUGACGCCUCAAGUGUUUGUUGUAAUAGUGGAAAACUGACUAAUAAUGGAAGGUGAGGGGUUAGAUGGGAUUGUGAGGGUAAACCAUAGUCCAAUGAGGUUAGUGCCUGUUAAAAUCUCUCUCUCUCCAAUGAGAUCAGUGUCUUUUUAAAGAAAAAGAACUCUCUCUCUCUC